GCUUCGAUAGCUCAGUGGUAGAGCGUGGGAUUGCAGUUUGCAAUCAUCCUAAGGUCACCGGUUCGACCCCGGUUCGGAGCU